UACGAAGGGGACUAGCGUUGUUCGGAAUCACUGGGCGUAAAGCGCACGUAGGCGGUUUUGUAAGUCAGGGGUGAAAUCCCGGGGCUCAACCUCGGAACUGCCUUUGAUACUGCGAAUCUUGAGUCCGAUAGAGGUGGGUGGAAUUCCUAGUGUAGAGGUGAAAUUCGUAGAUAUUAGGAAGAACACCGGUGGCGAAGGCGGCCCACUGGAGCGGUACUGACGCUGAGGUGCGAAAGCGUGGGGAGCAAACAGG
rnacentral:rRNA from 1 species